GUGAAGAGCAGAUAGAGGAACGAGAGCGGAGAGAGGGAGAGCAGACAGAGAGGGAACAAGGCAGUCGGCUGAUUCACCACCCCUCCAUCCAUCCCUUUUUCUCUUUCUCCUCCUCUGCUUCAGUGAUGGGGUAGUGGAGGUGUGUGUGGGAAAGGAAACCCUUCCUCCACACCCAAACAGACCACUGCUCCUAAUCCCUUCCACCGGCCUCCAUCCCUCUCCCUUCUCCCAUAUUCAUUACUACCUCCAGCUCUGUCUCAUUCCUUCUCACCCCAUCCCAUCAUCCCAUCUAUCUCUCUAUCGCUCUGUCUUUCUCUCCAGCCCCCACGCCCUUCUAACCCACACGCUCUGUGUCACCACCGUGGUGAAGAAAAUGAUCGGCGAACAAGCUGGAAAAGGUAGAGGAGAGGACAGAGAGAGGAGAAGGAGAGGAAGAGUGAACUCUGUCCAUUCAAAACAAUCCAGACUUUCCCGUUUCCCUGAUGGAUUAUCGCCGGCCCCGCGGACAGGAGGAGUGGAGGAGAAACGAAAACGACCAAUAGAGGAAGAGAGCAGACAAGAAUUGAGCUCUGGACAGCCAGGUCGCCUAAAGGUCUUGUCUGCAGGCUGUGCUUGGGACUCGGGCUAAUUGUGGAGUAUUCUCAGGACUCCAGCGGAGGAGAGAGAGAUGCUUUCUCUUUCUUUUCAUUCUAAUUAAUUGCCCUCUAUGCAAACACUCAAAGAGCCUUUCUCUUUGAGGGAAAUAAUUUCAUAUUCUGUUCAUAUCAGUAUUUUCCAUUUGUUUUUUCCACACAUACUGUACCUGUAGGCUGCCACUCAAAAAGAAAAAGAAAAAGAAAAAAAACAUACAAAAACUCUCUGACAUCCCUAGGGGGUUUGGGAGUGGGUGUACAGGGACAUGAGAGAAUGAACGUGAGAGUGAGAGAUAAAACAUAAUAGUGUGGAGUCUACUACAAAUAAGUAUUUCCCAGAGUGGUGUUAGGGAGGAAAGAAAGGAAAAUACUAUUUUCACCUCAGGUCUAACCAGUGCUGUGGAUAGACAGAGUAAGACAUCGGUCCCUGCUCAUCGGUCCCUGCUCAUACAACACCGAGACUGAGAAGAAUGCACAAGACUGAGGAGAGAACGGAUGGACAAACACACAGACAAGUCAGCCCUCCGACCCCAAUCGCAUUCUGGUCCAUCUCUGUUAGGGUACAGCGCCCUACACACACAUACACUUACUCACAUACACACUCACUCAUACACACACUUAUGCACACACUCAUACACAGACACAAAAUAACCUUGGCUUCGUCUGGGACCCUUUUCUUUUCCGAAUGAUUUAUUUUUCUAGCACCCAUUUUUCCCUCUCUCUGCCCCCUUCUCUCCCUUUCUCUCUCCCAUCUCUCCUCCAUCUCUCCAUAUAGACUCUGAGAACACCAUAUCUCCACUACACACACCUCUACACUUCCUGAUUCUUACAUUGAUUGGUCUUUCAGUUCCUCCCUUCUACAUAUCUCUACUUCUCUUCCUCUCCCUUUACCUCUUUUUCUCACCGUUCUUCUUUCUCUCCUUUUCUCUCUCUGUCUCUCACCCUCUCUCACUCUCCUUUGCUUUCCUGCCCCCCUCGGCACACCUCACUCCCUCUCUCUUCUCCUACCGCUCCCUCACUUGCUCGGUCUCAUUGUCUUCACAAACAGCAGUGUUAGUGUGUGUGUGUCCGGGGGAACCAAUCCAUUCUGCAGUGGAGCCACGGAGCACAGGGGAGCCUGAGGUACUACAUGUGUCUCAAUCAAACCAUGCCCCAGUUCACCUUUGCCUGUUUCUGUGGUCUGCACGGCUUCUGCCGGAGACGGACAAAGAAUAAAAAUAAGAAAAGGGAGGAACAAGUGGAGAUGGAGGAGAAACAGAGGGAUCAGGAGACACAGGUGUGAAGGAAGUCUGGAGGGACUUCACCCUCCUCUUCAUCUUCUCAGAGACUGUUUUGGUCAUAGUUGAAAAUCGGUUGAAACCCCUUCCCGUGUACCUCAGUCCUUGGGAAUGAAGGCAGGAUAUUUUCACCAAACAUACUCAGUACCACUGAUUUUUACUCAAUUUAACUUAAAACUUGUGGUCUGCAAUUUCUGUAAUUUUCAUCAUAUGUACACUUCAACUAUGACAGACAAAAUGAGAAAAGAAUCCAGAAAAUCACAUUGUAGGAUUUUUUAAUUAAUUUAUUUGCAAAUUAUGGUGGAAAAUAAGUAUUUGGUCACCUACAAACAAGCAAGAUUUCUGGCUCUCACAGACCUGUAACUUCUUCUCUAAGAGGCUCCUCUGUCCUCCACUCGUUACCUAUAUUAAUGGCACCUGUUUGAACUUGUUAUCAGUAUAAAAGACACCUGUCCUCAAACAGUCACACUCCAAACUCCACGAUGGCCAAGACCAAAGAGCUGUCAAAGGACACCAGAAACAAAAUUGUAGACCUGCACCAGGCUGGGAAGACUGAAUCUGCAAUAGGUAAGCAGCUUGGUUUGAAGAAAUCAACUGUGGGAGCAAUUAUUAGGAAAUGGAAGACAUACAAGACCACUGAUAAUCUCCCUCGAUCUGGGGCUCCACGCAAGAUCUCACCCCGUGGGGUCAAAAUGAUCAUAAGAACGGUGAGCAAAAAUCCCAGAACCACACGGGGGGACCUAGUGAAUGACCUGCAGAGCUGGGACCAAAGUAACAAAGCCUACCAUCAGUAACACACUACGCCGCCAGGGACUCAAAUCCUGCAGUGCCAGACGUGUCCCCCUGCUUAAGCCAGUACAUUUCCAGGCCCGUCUGAAGUUUGCUAGAGAGCAUUUGGAUGAUCCAGAAGAAGAUUCGGAGAAUGUCAUAUGGUAGAUGAAACCAAAAUAUAACUUUUUGGUAAAAACUCAACUCGUCGUAUUUGGAGGACAAAGAAUGCUGAGUUGCAUCCAAAGAACACCAUACCUACUGUGAAGCAUGAUGGUGGAAACAUCAUGCUUUGGGGCUGUUUUUCUGCAAAGGGACCAGGACGACUGAUCCGUGUAAAGGAAAGAAUGAAUGGGGCCAUGUAUCGUGAGAUUUUGAGUGAAAACCUCCUUCCAUCAGCAAGGGCAUUGAAGAUUAAACAUGGCUGGGUCUUUCAGCAUUACAAUCAUCCCAAACACACCGCCCGGGCAAUGAAGGAGUGGCUUCGUAAGAAGCAUUUCAAGGUCCUGGAGUGGCCUAGCCAGUUUCCAGAUCUCAACCCCAUAGAAAAUCUUUGGAGGGGGUUGAAAGUCCGUGUUGCCCAGCAACAGCCCCAAAACAUCACUGCUCUAGAGGAGAUAUGCAUGGAGGAAUGGGCCAAAAUACCAGCAACAGUGUGUGAAAACCUUGUGAAGACUUACAGAAAACGUUUGACCUCUGUUAUUGCCAACAAAGGGUAUAUAACAAAGUAUUGAGAAACUUUUGUUAUUGACCAAAUACUUAUUUUCCACCACAAUUUGCAAAUAAAUUCAUUAAAAGUUUUACAAUGUGAUUUUCUGGAUUUUUCUUUCGAAUUUUGUCUGUCAUAGUUGAAGUGUACUUAUGAUGAAAAUUACAGGCCUCACUCAUCUUUUUAAGUGUGACAAUUGGUGGCUGAUUGGUGGCAAUUGGACAAUUGGUGGCUGACUAAAUACUUUUUUGCCCCACUGUAUAUAUUUUUUACAUUAGAUAAAAGUCUCAGAGGUAGAAAAUUGUAUAUCAUACACUGCAGUUGAGGAACAAUGGGAAAGUAAUGAUAUUUGAAAGUCGAUAAACUUGUAACUCCACAAUGAACCAUAAUUCCCAACCCAUACAGUAAUAGCAAUACAAACUGAUUGUCAUAGCUAGCCACCAUGCAUGAAUCUGCAGGUAGGUAAAGCUAAUCAACUAUGUUCAAUGUUAGCUAGCUAGCUAACAUUGGCUUAUAACUAGCAAUGCAAAUGGAUUUCUGAUAUACUAAUAAUAUUCCUACACAGAUCAUACACUUAACGUUAGCUAGUGAGCCAACAAGCUAACGUUCGCUAGCCUCCUAACAGUUCGCUUUAACUUGCAAUGAAUACAACUUUCUAGCUAAAUUAGAAACUUAGAAUAUCGCUUCAUGGCAGACUGCUACCCCUUUAACUCUGUUUUGUUUGUAGUUACAGCUUGUUUGGCCUGCGUUGUGUCAAGUCACUCCAGUUCACACUGUAGGUAGUAGUAGUCCAUCUAAACUUUUUUCCACUGAUCUUUGUCUAUAGCGCCUGCUAUAAUUCAGGGCAGCAAUAUUGUUGAGAGCAGUCCAACAUAUCUUUCAAAAAAGCCGCGGUAGCCAGGAUUCACAUACGAAGCAGCUCAUGUUAUAAACAGAAGCAUGCUACAUGGCUGACCAAUCCGAUCUCAUCUCUCAGCAUGUCCUGCCUAUCCAUUAUCUAAGCCAAUCCGGUCUUUUUCCAUGGCGAAACCAACUAGGAUCCUAAUUUAACAAUUUUAUCUGUAUUUACAAAUUGCAUGCCGUUUGUGUUAUUAAGACACAUGAAAGUGAUUAUGUUCCAGAAGGCAUUUAGAUUUGUUUUUAAAUGCCUAAUGCCUCUCCUGUGAAGUAGUGACGUGCGACAUACGCCUAGCUUCUUGAAACGGUUUAUAAAUGCCACUAGUGGCGUUGGGACACCUGUCACCUGUUACCUGUUUAAUAUGGAAGUAGUGAAUGUGAUUGUGUGUGCAUUGAAACUUCAUUGCAACUGGAGCACAGAGAGUUUCAGCACCUAGAUAUUCAUAUGCUGCAGAAUGGCCUUCACACACACACACACACACACACACACACACACACACACACACACACACACACACACACACACACACACACACACACACACACACACACACACACACACACACACACACACACACACACACACUCACACACUCACACACACACACACCUUCUCAUUAGCCUGUGUAAUUAUGCAUGGCACAUCUAGUUGGCCAGUGGAGAUGUAAUUAACCUUUUCCUGCAGGAAACAGCAGUCUGGACGUCUGACACACACACACACACACGUCUGGUGUCACGGAAAUAGAGCGUCAAAGACGACGUCUGGCAUUCAAUGAUAAUCCCCUCACGCAUAUUUACAUCCAAGGUUUAAACUAUUAAUGUCAGAUUACCUCUCCUCUCCCUUUAUCUUCCACCCUUUCUCUCUCUCCCUCUUCUUGUCCCCAGCUCCUUCUCUGACUUUCUUUCUCCUUCACUCUCCAUGUCUCUGUGUCUGUCUGUGUCUGGCUACACAAACCUCUUUCUCUCUUCCCUUCUGACUGUCUCUGUCUCCUAUUUCUCCUUUCUCAACCUCCUUGCCCACAUCCCUCUCUCUCCUGCUCCCUCUCCCUCUGUUCAUCUCUUUAUCUCUCAGUAAAACACGUUCUCUGGGCAGUGAGCAUGGCCUUGCCUGGCUGGCACCUCCAUAGAUUGACACCAGCACUCGCUCAGGGAGCCCUCUCGCCAAGUCCACAAAAGCUGCUUUACAACAGAUGAAGGGAUAGUGUGAUUGUGUGUGUGUGUGUGUGUGUGUGUGUGUGCGUGUGUGUGUGUGUGUGUGUGUGUGUGUGUGUGUGUGUGUGUGUGUGUGUGUGUGUGUGUGUGUGUGUGUGUGUGUGUGUGCGUGCGUGCGUGCGUGCGUGCGUGCGUGCGUGCGUGCGUGUGCGUGUGUGUGUGCGCGUGUGUGCUUGCGUGCGUGCGUGCGUGAGUGCACCCACAUGCGCGUGAGUGUGUGUGCAUGUGUGUGUGGUGGUCAUGUGUGUGCAUGUAUGUGUAUACGUGUGAGUUUAUAAGAAAAGAUAAAGCGAUAGGGUUGAGUAUUUUCCUAUUCUACCAUUGAGAACAGUGAAAUAGGAUAAAGCUAAGCCAUUUCACAGAGGUGAGCAGCUAUUAUGAGCCACCAUGUUACAGAAAGGCUUUUUAACAAGAAAGGGAGAGAGAAAAUGAUAGGGAGAGGGGCAGAGAGAGAACAGUUCAUGAGAGAGGGAUGGAAAUGGAAGAGGGAGCUAAUACUCGACACUCAUGCUAAUUGGCUACAGUUGCUAACUCUGUGAGGCGAGAGGAGGUUUAAAGAAGCACAGACUGAUCCCGGCAUUACACUUGUUUAAAGAAACGAUUCGCUUGAAUAAUGCAGAGGAGCUGAAAUGAAUAACAGGGUGUUAUUAGCAGUGGGAGGGCUGUUUUUCACCUGAGUGACUAUGUGUAGUCUUCUCAGCCAGGUCACCCGUGAUACAAGUCAGUAUUCGACGUCCAUCCAUUUCUGAGGACGUUGGGAGAUGACAUAGAAACGGGCACUAGGGGCAACAGUGAGCGCUGUUAUCUUCAAGUAGGUUUCGGUUUUGUAAGGACAUUGUGGAUGGGUGUAAGCAUCUGCCUCUGAUUCCAAAUUCAAAUCCAGUAACAAAAAGUAGUUGAUAUUUUUGUAGUUGAUAUCUCCAGCCUUAACCCUUACCUUAACCAUUUGAAGUUAACGUCUAACCUUAAGAAUGUAGAGUUAAUGCCUGAACUUAAUCCUAACAUUAAAAAUGCUGAGUUAAUGCCUAAACUUAACCUUAAACAAUUUGACAUUUGAUGUUUGGAACAACUUCAAAAUGUGAUGUUUGAGAAACAUUAAUGAACGUCUAAUUCUGACAUGAGACUGUGAGAGCUGAUACAGUCUUCUAUGGAUCAUAUCCAUACCAUGCAUAUGGAGCCUUAAUCAAAGACAAAUAGCUGAAAAUAGAUGGGAUUGACUAUAUAGCGACUCCCAGGCUUGGAAAUGUACUGAUUUUAGGGGCUAAGCCAUUUUUCCUUCAAGAGGUGCCCAAUCUGCCAGGGCAACAAGGUCAUCUGCUAGGGCACCAAUGCCAUUAACCAAAAUGGGCAAUUGAAUAGUGUAGGUGAUAGCCUAUGCAUAUUGGCUACAGCCUGUCAAGUCUAGACAGAUGCUGACAUGAGGGAGUCGCAGGUAAAUGUAUGACUUUUACUUACAUAUAUCGGCUAAACGCCAGUCAUGUUUGACAAAUAUAACGUAGGAUCCUUAUUAAUAUGAAAAGGAUUGAUUCUGUCGACAUACUUGAGGCACUGUUCAUUCAGAUAGAAGAGAAUGGCCAGUUCCUGAUGCACACUGCAUCACCCACCUUGCAAUCUGAGUGGAGGCAGUCAACAUUUUGAAACUGUUGAACCAUAAACAUAAUUGUUUAAAACCUGGAAGUGUUUUGUCAUUCUAUGAGGCAUGUCUUACCAUGUCCCAACCAUAUGAAUGUUAAGGGGAUUAUUUUAUGAACAUUUCCCCAUAUGUCAUUGAAACUAGUAACAUUCACCUGGAACUUGGAACAUUCACCUUUAUAGCCCACUGCCAUGUGCGCAUUGCUGUGCUUAUAAUGUGACGAAAUAGCCUAAUAGUUUAUCCUGCUUUGGAGUUGCGGUGGUUGUAAGAAGGAUCCGAUCAUGUGAAAGGCAUUGGCUAAUAAGAAUUAAGAUAUCUGAGCGAGCCAUAUGUGAGAGGUGCAUCGGAGCUGUGCUUCGGAGUACGGCGAUUGGCAGCUGGGAGAAGGGAAUUGUAAUUAGCCUAUUAUAUUCAGCCCAAGGGCACAAUGGGAACUGUCCACAAGGCAUGGAUUUUUUUAGGGGGCAUUACGGCCACACAAGUGGGCAUGGCCGUCAAUGCCCCCGGGAAAAUCGAGGCCUGGCGACUCCUAUGAAAGCAGGAGCAAAGGAAAAAGGGAGAGGGAGAGAAAAGGAGUGCUGUCAGAUUAGAUUUGGGUCAGAAAGGGAGGGAAGAGCCAGUGGGGCAGAGGGUGUUACAUAUGGACGAUAUUCAUCUCUUUUCCUUGCUCACUCUCUCUUUGUCUCACUACCACUUUCUAUCCCUCUGUCCCUCCCCCCAUCUCUCUCGCUCUUGCUCUCUCUACUCAAUACCUCACUAUCUCACACCUGCAAUAUAGGGGGAGGGAAGGGGAAAAGAAGAUGAAAACAUCACCUUCUCCUCUCCUCAUCCCCCUCUCUUUCCUAAUGAAGACUAAAGUGAUCUUUCUACUCUAAUGCUCUAAUUCGGCAAUAAGAGAUGGGAACUGAUAGAGAUUGAUAGAGAUGGAUUGAGAUAUAGUGAUAAAGAAAGGAGAGACAGACAGGGAGUGAGGAUUAAGAUAUAGAGAGGCAUAGAGAGGCAGGAUUUGAGGUAGAAAGAAGAGCAGGAAAGGAAGUGAGAGAAAGUGAGGAGCUUUUAUGUGACUGAGAGACAGAUAGGGUGAUGGGAGAUGAGACGGGAUGAGUAAAGUUAGAGAGAUAUUUUGAGAGCAGGAGUGAAAGAGCAAUAGGUUAAGAGAGAGAGAGAGAGAGAGAUGGUGUAAUUGUGAUGGUAAUAGGGUUUGUCAGGAGCACCUGUCAGGGUCGAGCUGAAGCGGCUCCGGAGCGAGGGGGGCGAUGGAGGAGAGGUAUGAAAUAGGGGAUUGGAGUCAGGAUCCCUCUGAGGAGAGUCCUAUAUCCAUGGCAGGAUUACCUGAUUGCCAAUUUGUGUCCGUCUCCAGACAUCACACAUAUAAAACACACACUCGCAUUCACUGCAGGGGAAGGAUGGAGUUGAUUGGACAGGCUCUUGGUGCCUAACGAGGUGUCUAUGGCAAUCACAGACCAGCUGCUUUGUGAUUGGAAGAGAAGGCUUGUAUUCACAUAAUUUCUAGAUGAAAAGAGAGUGCUACACUGAUUAUCUUCUAAAACCCAGCUUAGAAAAUCAAAGUGACCUUCAUGGGAGAGAUCUCAGAUAUUUAUGAGUACAGAGUAUGUUGGCUUAGGCAGAUUUAUGUUUUAAACAUACAGGUGUUAGUUAACCUGAGAAUUGUAUUAAAUGCCCACCCAGAUGCCUGGAGCGAGGCAGAGAGAAGAGACAGUGAGAGGGAAGGGCUGGGUAUGGAUCCUCAGAGAAAGACUGGUCCUCGGAUCAGAAAAUAUUGACAGGCUAUAACCCAAACACCCAGUUAUGUCUGACACUGUCUGACACCCAUCAUUAACAAACACACAAACACAAACACACACACACACACACACACACACACACACACACACACACACACACACACACACACACACACACACACACACACACACACACACACACACACACACACACACACACACACACACACACACACACACACACACACACAGAGUUUGUGUGUGUCGUGGAGGGGUGAGUAGUGUGUAUGUGUAGGGUAGUGGGCUGUAUGCUUGGGAUGCGGAGCACGUCAGAGGUCUGUGGAGUUUUAUUUGCAGAAAAGCCUCAUUAAAGAGGUGUAGGCUCAUCUUAACACAGCUAUCUCCAACCAGACCAGACCACACACACAGAGAGAGAGAGAGGGAGAGAGAGUGAGGGAGAUGCUGAGGGAGACACUGAGGAACACUUAAAGCACACACACAGACACACAUAUGAAAUACGAUAUAAAGCAUCUUUCUCAGGUUGCUGUGGUAUCACACAACGUUUAAGUGUGAGUGAAUGGGUUUGUUCUCAUCAGGAUUUUACCUAUCUCUCCCUCCAGACUCUCUCAUCUUCUGGGUUUCUCUGCUCUUGUCCUCUAUGAUCUUUCCUUUGUCCUUAAACUAUGUUCUCCUAUUCAUGUAUAUUUGCUUGUGUCAACUCCGCAGAGAUUGCCUAUGGUGUAUAUGUGUGCCUUUUAAAUCUGUGCUUAUGAAUAAAUAAUAGAUUCCUACGCACUCUGAUUAUUAAAGAAGCCAUAUUGCCAGGAACCCAUGAUGAAAUUAUAUUGUAAUUCAUGCCUCUCCGAUGAAUAAACAGAUAUUUUUCCUUCUUGCAA